UUGAAAUGAAGGUGGAUUGACUUCCACAA
rnacentral:sRNA from 1 species